GCGGGGAUAGCUCAGUUGGGAGAGCGUCAGACUGAAGCCUACUUCAGUUCUUCUUGACAUCUGAAGGUCGUGCGUUCGAUCCGCACUCACCGCA